CCUCAAUGACAUAUUUGGGAAAAGGUUACCCUGCUCCGAAACAAGGUUAUGCCACAACUUAAUUAUGCACACGCUUUCGAUUUCUUUAUGUUUCCACCGUUGCAAAGGUUGUAUCUGGACAACUAAGAUUUGCUUUACAUUGUAACGGGUUCCCUACUUAUAACUUAUAAACAUGUUCUCUUUGUUUUUUCUACAAGAAUUUGCAAGAGAAAAUGCAUGCAUUGUCUCAGAUCGCACUACCUACAAUUUAUAAGAGGGCUUUGAAAUGACAUAACAUUACCAAUGUUGGAGAAAUUUCAGCUCUAUGAUAUCGUAUGGCUUAAGUUUGAUGAUGUGCUUCCAGAUGUGGGAGAUGGUAGAACCUAAUGGAUAUGCAUUCAAAGGUGAAACCUACGUAUUAUAGCAGUGAUAAUCAGAGGUGGGAAAAUGGGUUGGUUGCCUAUUGAACACCCUUACAGUUAAGUCAGUUUAUAAAGUUGUCACUUUGAGUUUGCAUAUGGUUAUUUAAUAUGUUUUUUUUUCCCCCCGAAUCUCUAUCUCCUCUAUUAUGGUUCUAUGUCCUUUGCUCAUCUACAAGUUAUUUUUAAGAUUGUUUUUUUGGGAAGGCUGAUGUUUGACUUGAACUUGUUUUGCCAAUCAAAUUAACAUCCAUAUAUUUGACCCGUAAGAGAGAUAAUACACUGAAUCAUGGUAAAUGAUAAAUGGCUAGAUGGAAUAGAAUGGGUAGCUAGUUCAGGUAAGAGUAGGAUGCUUUGUAGAUCUAGUGGGUCAGAUUGGGUUAACUAUCUGUUUAUGUACUUUUGUAGAAUAUCUAGAAGAUUCGUAUAUUCAGCAAAUGAUAUUUCCUUUCGAAUAGAGCUAAAUUAAUUACCUUACGGCAUGAAUGCAAAUCUACUUUAUUUAUUCCAAAUAUCUACUUUGUUUUUCUUGUUCCAGACAUCUAAUUUUCCUUAAUUCGUGUUACAGAGGGAGAUGCAUAUCAAACCAAGCAUCUCGACAAAUUUUGUUGUUUUUACGUAUUAUUGUAUUUUGUUUGAAAUGACUGAUAUAUUUAAUAAAUUUGAGUACCAUUUGAAAUUUAGUUAUAUUCAUUUCUUCGCUUUUGUUA